rnacentral:rRNA from 1 species
UACGAAGGGGGCUAGCGUUGCUCGGAAUCACUGGGCGUAAAGCGCACGUAGGCGGCUUUCUAAGUCAGGGGUGAAAUCCUGGAGCUCAACUCCAGAACUGCCUUUAAGACUGCAUCGCUUGAAUCCAGGAGAGGUGAGUGGAAUUCCGAGUGUAGAGGUGAAAUUCGUAGAUAUUCGGAAGAACACCAGUGGCGAAGGCGGCUCACUGGACUGGUAUUGACGCUGAGGUGCGAAAGCGUGGGGAGCAAACAGG